ensembl:lncRNA
UCUCACAUAUUUCUGAUGGCACUGAAGCACUGCGGUAUCUUCUGGACAGAGCUCAAAAACCCUUUUGAGAGCAGAGCAUUUUAUUGUCCAAAAAUACAUGAUAUAUGUGCAUUCAUCUUUCAGGGGUUUGCUAGUUUAGUCCAUGCUCUUACCAUCCUUUGAAAUCCUUUUAUUAAAUGCAGUCAAAUGAUUUGGUUUCAGAAUGUGAAUAAUAAUGCCUUCUUGAUAAAUGUGAGUAUCAAGGGCAAGUCUCUAAGAUUAGCCAUGUGAAUUUUGCUUCAUAGAGAUGUUUAUUUGUCCACGCAAUUAAUUUGGGAUUUUUUUCCCCUCAGAAACCUGAUUACUGUACCUUAACUUAAUAUAAAAAUGUAAUAUAAAAUAUAUAUAAAAGAAUUUAUAAGAUGAACCAUGUUCUUCUACCAAGCCAUACACCCUAAACAUCUUGUUUCAAAUAUUCUGUCAGGCUCUCGCCGGCAGAUGGUGCUGAGGUUGUGACGUGCAUGGACAGCUGGAGAGUGCGCGUGUGCAUGAGAUUAUGUAAAGAGGACUUUCCUAUGGACACGUGCCUUUGUUUUGGUUUUGGUUCUCUUCCUGUUCAGGUAUUGGUUGAUGUUCAAGGGUGUGUCAUUAUUGGUCCCAGCUGUCUGUAUUCAAGCGUGAUUAUGUUUGUUAUUUAAAGCCCUCGUGUUGCUGUGCACUUUGUGCAGUAUUGAAUUAAUGUAUAGGUGAAUAUGUUUAAGUAUGCCAAGCGGUCGUGUUUUCGUGUCCUGUUCUUGUUUCAUGCCUUGAAUCUAGUUUCAUGUUUAAACCUCGAUUAUCUCUUCCAGUCUAGACCCCGUUUCAUAUUUAUUGACUUCUGUUUGAGAAUAAAGACUUUGAUCUGUGCUUGCUUCUGUUUAUAGACUCAUUUCGUAACAUAUACAGAAUUAACAAAUUUGCAAACCCUAACAACAUUUGAAUUACUAACAACAUGCGUUGAUAGGACAACAACACAAAGUUCACUGAAUUUCAAAAAUAAAAUGCACUUUUCUUUAUAACAAGUAUUAGAUAUGUAGUAAUAUUAUUCAAAUACUCAUCUUAUAUCAUGUUCAAACUCUAUUAGUCAUAGCUUAAGUCUCAAAUGUCUGUAUGCCUCCUGUCAUUGAUUAAAUGUUAAAUGCCACAAUAGACUAAUUGAUUUACAGUUGUAUUAUUUACAAUAAUUUCUUGUAUAAAUCUAGGUAAACACUUUUAUAAGCAGUACACAUUAUCACACAACAUUUAAUUGGAUUUAAAAACUCAUAACACUUAAAUUCAGAAGUUGCUGUCAGGUACUAUUUCCAGAUUUCAUUUCCC